GCCCUGAGCCUCUCUGAGCACACUUUCUUGCCUUUCUGCCUUCUGCCAUGGGAUGAUGCAGCAGAAAGGGCCCUGCUGGAUGUGAGACCCUUGACCCUGAACUUCCCAGCCUCCAGAACAGUGUUACAAACGGACUUCCGUCAAAGGGAUACGUGGGUAUGAAUUGGAAGAAUCUGAGUGGAAAUGCAACACUGAUAUUUUGGAUCUCCAGAAUUUGCCUAUAAGAAGAGUCAUUUAUUCAGGAGGUCCUGAAUUUGCUUAUAAGAAGAGUCAUUCUCUGCAGAGAAUGCAAAAGAUGAGUCAAGGGAUGAUUCUGCAAUAUAAUUGGAGGAUGUAAAGCAAUUGCAAAAAUAAUUCUGUCUCAUGGAAUACUGAAUGUCUCUAGGAAAUACCAACCAAUAUUGGAGUUCUGAAAAAGUGAUAAUGAGCAGUAUACUGUAGGGAACUAGGAAAGACUACUUGACAAAGAUAGUAUUUGAGAUCAUAGAUAAGUGCUUUGGGCCAAAAGAAUUGUUACUUUCUCAGUUUAGUUGAAAGCAAAUAAUGAUACUGUGCUCAUUUUUAUAGACAACAAUAGCACACAUGUAUGUGGAUGAAAAUGAGCGAUACAGACUAAUUAUGAGUGAAAGAAAUCCUUGCAGAACUAACAAUCCAGUGUUGUCCAAAACAAACCAAUGGACAAAGUAUUUGAAAAUGCUAGUACCAUCCUAACAUCCCAAUUGUUUUGAGCAAAUUCUUAUUGAUAGAGAUCUCUGGGCCUGCUUAUCAACCAGUGAGUAACUCCAAUAGUCAAUAAACAAAUGCUGCCUCCCUCAUUAGGGAUGGAUAUAGAUGGAAAUAGAAUUUCAGAAGAGUUGACAGACAAGCCAAAUAUUGUCAACUUUCAAAUUUGUCAUGUUGCCCCUAGUUCGAGCCUCACUGUCCAAAUCCCAGAGAAAGAGAUGGUGGGAUGUGAGGAAUGGAGAUAAUCUGUGUCUCUUUGGGAUGUUUUGGGGUCUACUUAAGGCCAGCAUGACAAACAUGUAUAGUGACAACCCUAAUCAAUUGUUCAUGGCUGUCUGAAAGGGUUGGUGAGGCUACAGUGAGCAAUAAAAAAUUGCCAUCAGUAAUUGGCCAUAAUUACCUUGAACAAGUGGCAACUUGUGAUAGGCAACAGUUUCUAUACAGUGGUAAAACAUGUCUUAUACUGUUCCAGAGGGUAUAUGAUUUAAUCAACAGUACAAUUGAAGCUGUAUUGUAUUGGGGCACUUAAUAUUAGAAUUUUGCUAAAAUAUUUGAUUUCUAUUUAGACACACAGAUCUCUAAAAGAUAGUUUUCUGUCUUGAUUACAUGUUCUUCACUUCAUUCUGAAUCAGAUUGGAAAUAAUAAGUUGUGCUUUAUAUGCUUGGUAGCUCAUUCAUUCAUUCACAAAUUCAGCCAGUCAGCCACUGUCCUAGUUAUCUAUUGCUGGGUAACACAUGACUUCAAAAUUUGGUGGAUUGAAACAACAACAAUUAUGUCAUUAUCUCUUCCAGUUUCUGUGGGUCAGGAAUCUUGGAAGGACUCAGCUAGGUGGCUCAGCUCAGGUUCCCUUUGUGGUUUCAAGUCAUAUGGUGGCUGGGAGAGUGUGGGGCUGAAGCAGCUGGGGGCUGGAUGGGCAGCUUACUGUCUUCAUGUAGUUCCUGGGCCUCUGCACAUGGGUUAAUCUGGACUCCAAAGGUAAGAUGUACCACCUUUUAUGACCUAGCUUUUGAAGUUACGCAAUACACGUUGAGCAUCCCUAAUUUGAAAAUCUGAAAUCCAACAUGCUCCCAAGUCUGAAUUUUUUGACUGCUGACAUGAAGCCACAAGUGGAGAAUUUCACACUUGACCCCAUGUGACAGGCUGCAAGUCACAGUGCAGGAGCAUAACAAGCAGUUUAUUCUGUGCUUCCAAGGGAACAAAGACCCUUGGAGCCCUCCUCAGCUGUGAUGUACAUUUGUUGCACAUGUUCAGAUUCUCCCAUGCAAGCAACCAGACUGUCCACAUAGGUGGUUGCUAGUGACAUAUUUACCUUCUGAUGGCUCAGUGUAUACAAUCUUAGUUUCAUGCAAAAAAAUAUUUAAAAUAUGAUAUGAAAUACCUUCAGGCUAUGUAUAUAAACUGUAUAUAAACCAUAAAUGAAUUUUAUGUUUAGGCUUGUGUCCCAUCUCCAAGAUAUCUCAUUAUGUAUAUGAAAAUAUUCCACACUCCAAAAAAAACACUAAAAAUCCAAAACACUUCUGUCCCAAGAAUUUCAGAAUAGGGAUACUUAGCCUGUAUCACUUCUACUACACACUACUGAUUAUAAGCUAGUUAUAAGACUACCCACCCAGGUUGGAGAAGAAGGGAAGUAGUCUGCACCUCUUUAUGGGGAUGUGACUAGGGUUUUAGAAAACAUAUGGGAUAGGAGAUGAUGUUGCUAUCUUGGAAAAAUAUGAUCAGCUGAUUAGCCAGAGUCACAAACAUUUGUUGGGAGCCUUUUAUGUGCUAGGCUGCACAUACUCUGGGAAUACAGUGAAGAGGAGGGACAAUGUCCUUGCUCCUGAGUGGCAUAUAUUCUACUGAGGAUGAGUGAGGAGAUAAACAAGAGGUAAAUACACAGGAAAGACAAGAUUGAAUUGUGGUAAGUGCUAUGAAGAAUGUUAAACAAAACAGAAUAACUGGGGUUUGGAGAGCUUCUUUAGAUAAGGUGGUCAGGACAGGUCUCUCUCUCUCUCUUUUUUUUUUUUGCUUCAGUGUCUAUUUUAUUUAUUUAUUUAUUUAUUUAUUUAUUUAUUUAUUUAUUUAUUAUACUUUAAGUUCUGGGGUACAUGUGCAGAACAUGCAGGUUUGUUAUAUAGGUAUACAUGUGCUAUGUUGGUUUGCUGCACCCAUCAACUCGUCAUUUACAUUAGGUAUUUCUCCUAAUGCUAUCCCUCUUCAAGGCCCCCACCCCAUGAUGGCCCUGGUAUGUGAUGUUACCUUCCCUGUGUCCAUGUGUUCUCAUUGUUCAACUCCCACUUAUGAGAACACGUGGUGUUUGAUUUUGUUCAUGUGUUACUUUGCUGAGAAUGAUGGUUUCCAGUUUCAUCCAUGUCCCUGCAAAGGACAUGAACUCAUCCGUUUUUAUGGCUGCAUAGUAGUCCAUGGUGUAUAUGUGCAACAUUUUCUUUAUCUAGUCUAUCAUUGAUAGGCAUUUGGCUUGGUUCCAAGUCUUUGCUCUUGUGAACAGUGCUGCAAUAAACAUACAUGUGCAUGCGUCUUUAUAGAAUGAUUUAUAAUUCUUUGGGUAUAUACCUAGUAAUGGGAUUGCUGGGUCAAAUGGUAUUUCUAGUUCUAGAUCCCUGAGGAGUUGCCACACUGUCUUCCACAAUGAUUGAACUAAUUUACACUUCUACCAACAGUGUAAAAUUGUUCCUAUUUCUCCACAUCCUCUCCAGCAUCUGUUGUUUCCUGACUUUUUGAUGAUCGCCAUUCUAACUGGUGUGAGAUGGUAUCUCAUUGUGGUUUUGAUUUGCAUUUCUCUAAUGGAUAGGUCACUUUUAAUUAAAGAACUUAAUGAGAAGAAAACAGUCAGGGAAACAAGAGUUCCAGGUGGAUGGAAGAGCAAAAAUACAGCAUGUGAGCUCCAGUGCCCAGAAGCCUGUCUAACAAACACCUGGCAUUCACUUGAGCUCUGCUGAAUAGAGAAUGACUGAAUGAACACCAGACCUUAAGUUGCCACCUGCUCAUAUCCCACUGCAAGCUCUACAUGAACUCAAACUGUGGCAAAGACGCAAAGCCAGGAGAAAUUGUCUCGACAACCAAAACAAUCUGUAAACUUGGAUCAAGAGGACCCAUCAAUGACAAGAAUACACACGAAAAUCUUUUGGCCACUCUUGAAACAGAUCAUUCUAAUCAACAGGCAAUAACAGUGGGGACACCUGGGCCACAAUAAACCCUUUCACAACUGUGCCCUUUACCUUGGGCCCUCAUAGCCCCUCUGCUGGGAUUUGCAAGUCCUCUUCAACAAGGAGUUCCCAAACCAAGGGCCAAGACACAUCUGGAGACUGUCUCUUGGGUUUGACAGUUGUACUUUUAAGCAUUCCUGCCCUUCUGGUUUCUUGAUCCUUUGGCUCAUUUAUGAGAAGCACUGUGUAAUCAUCUGACCCUGAGCCAAGAACAGAGGCCUACAGAGGCCCUGGCUAAUGUGGGAACUAAGCUUUCAGCUUUGUGGGCUGAGUCUGCUGAGCUAAGCAGCUUCCUAGGACUGUCAGAGGAUUGGUGCUACUUAAGUGCAGUUGUUCUAUUACACUCUUUUCUAUGAGUUGGAUGAGCCUUUGCGGAUUAAACAGUUGUUUGCACUUCCCCAGUUCCACGCUGACUUUUAUAACAUAUCACCAAAAGGUGUUUCACAUUGAAUGGAGUGUUAUAAGGUUCCAUAUGGUGAGGUAUGGUUUCCUCCUGCCUGGAGUUCUGAAUCAUUCUGCAAUUUGUGUGAAUCUGCUUUGCUAUCAGGUUCUUGAAGAUGGGGCAAGGUACUGUCCCAACAUCAGAGGAAGGAUGUCCAUAUCCUUCUGGUUCCUGUGCUAUUCUUGAUCCUUACUGGCCUCCAAGUAGAAGGCCCUUGCUCCAAGGGUCCCUCACCAUCCCAUUCUGGCAUAUGGUGAGGUAUGCCUGGCCCUGCCAGAUCUUUGGGAUGUGGUGCUGGCUGUCACUGCUGAAGUCCAUGGCCCCUCUGCCACCUUCCUCUGAUACCACUAAACUCAGCAAAGAAGACUGGAGAUGUAUGUUACACAUGUGACUAUUGUAAUGAAUUCAGAUAUGCUUUUCUUCUGAUACAGAAAAUAUUUUAUAAUUAAAAGAAGAUGGUUCCUUAUAUAUGUGCCUUUUCAAUGGCCAUCAACAAUUCAUAGCUACAGAUUCUGCUAUGUCUGCAUAGCAACAGACUCAGUCUGCUUAUACCUUAUGAAUUAUAAAUUUACUCAUGGACGAGUGUGUGUUGUUCUCUCAAAGGUUUGAUUAUUUAGAUUCAUUAAGUGUUGUACUCGAAAGAAAUAAGACUGGUAACUGUAUUUUAAUAAAGUAUUUAAAUACCUAAACAUGUUAAUAUUUUAACAGAUAUAAGAGUGUAUUGUGCUGUAGGUACAGGUAUUUAUUAUUGUUGUUAUUGUUUUUAAAUAGAGUAGGACUUCGAAAGGAAACCACAAGGAACUUUAAGUCCUGCUUUUAAUCACCGUCACCUUAUUUUACAAAGAAAAAUAUAUUUCAUUCAUGUAAGUUGCUAUUCAUAUUUAGUUAUAUAUUUCUACAUUAUGAAGAAAGUAUUCACCCUGAGGCGGGGAAAACAGAAUCCCCAGUUAGCUCCUAUUGAAUGCCUCCAUCCUGGAAUACUGUACAACCGACACAUGCAUUGGAAUUAUUCAUGCUGCUUGUAUACCUUGGGAGAUGAACACCUUGAAGACAAACUCAGAAUUUCAACAAACCCCUCAGGGUCUAUUCAUGGAAGCCUGGUUGGGUCUCUUCUUUUGGAGAACUAAUAAAUUAGUCCACACAACUGAACUUGCUGAAGGUAAAUUUGGAGUUGGCCAACUUUUGCUGUAUAACAAGCAGUGUUUGUGUACAGUGUCUGUUAGGCAUUUUACUAUCCACUGGCUAAUAUGUUCAGGGCAGGAACAUCCCUUUCUACCCCAUGGCUCUCCCUUUUCUCUACAUGCAAGGAAGUAUGUAACUGGGCACAGUGCUGCUUUGAUCUGGUUUUCAUUAUGUGAUAAUUGUGGACUUUCUAAAUUGUAAAUGUCUGUGACUUUUUCCCCAGCAGUCAGACAAUCUAUGCUCUGGGAAAAUUAAAGGGAAAAAUCUCAGGUAACAAGAGGAGCAACAUGAAGCAAUACUUUGCUAUAAUCAUCCUCUUACUAGCUGAGGUCCAAAAUGCUGUAUUGAGUGAAAUAACAUGAUUAGAGUUAAAUAAAUAAUGACAGCUAAGAGAGAAAUCAGCUAGAAAGAAGUUAUUUCAGCCUAUUAAGAAAGGAGAUGAGAUGUUGCUCAAAGGAAAAAGGCCCGUAUAUGAAGAGUGUCAAAAUAAAGGAAUGAAAAAAGAAAUAAAUGAAGUCUGAAGAGCAUGCUAGAAAAGGCAGAUGGAUAAUUUUAAGCAAAAUGUGUUGCACAGUGGGAUUGGAGCUGAAUGGGAGGAGGUUUGAUUGUGUAAGCAGUUCCAGGUUUCUUGCUUUAUAACAGGGAUCUGCAACCUUUUUCUCUAAAGGGCUAGAUAGUAAAUAUUUUAGGUUUUGUAGGUCAGAAUAUCUCUCACUCUACUACUCAAUGCUGUCAUUGUAACAUGAAGGCAGGCAUAGACACCACCUAACAAAUGGGUGUCUCUAUGUUCCAAUAAAACUUUAUAAAAUCUGAUGGUAAGCUGGAUAUAGCCCACAGGCUGUAGUUCUGUAGUUCUGACUCCUGGUUUAGAUGAUCAAAGUGGUGGCAGUUCCUUUCUCCAUUGAAUGGGACUCAUAUUAGUUUGGUGCAAAAGUCAUUAAUUUUGCAAUUACCUUAAUUAAAGGUGCCAUUACCUUUAAGGGAAAAGACCACAAUGACUUUUGCACCAAAGUUUGGUGUUUGUGAGGAUUAAAUAACAAGUGUGAAAAGUCCUAACACAGUGCUUAGCACAAGGUCCACACUCAAAUGUUAUCUCACCCACCGUCUUUCAAGUCAGUGAUCAUACUCCACAGGGAAGCAUUCAUGGCUUCAGUUAAUCGUGCAUAUAAAUUGAAGACAGAAAAACAGGUAGAAAAGAAAGACAUGAUAAAUGAAAGGUCAUUAUUGAUUUUGGUUUGGUUUUUCAAUACAUACAACUCAGGACAAAUCAUUAAAAUGCAUCUUCUUGCAAACUGAAGAAACAGAGCAAAGUACAACUACAAAAACAAAUUAUCUCAGGUUGAUAUAAUUUUCAUUUUCAUGACAAUAGGCUCAUUUUCCUCAUCUUUCAUUGAGCUUGUUAAACUUUAAGAAAAUCCCUACUUUUAAGAAAUGAUUUUUUUUAACAGUAGAGGCAGAAAUAUACUGAUAUAGGUGAAUUGUACUUAACCAAAAUUGUAAAAUCGUCUAUUUAACAUUGUUAAUUUCAGUUAAAUGGCAUCUCAAUUUUGACUGGAAGUAGAAUCACUCUGGUUUUGGUUUUUCAUAGACUCUGAGUAGCACCACUGCAGGUUCUUUGAAGCAUUUCUAAAUGAGGUAAUUUUAUUUUACAAGGGGUUUCUUGUAAAAACUAUUGUCUUUCUGUACAUCUAAUUAAAAUAAAGAUGUAAUAAAGAAUUUACUGUUUUAAUUAGGGCAUAGAUCUUAAAGCAAUUAUCCUGUCAUUAAUAAUUCCUUAACAGACUUUCUUGCACAAGAUGAAUAAAAAGAUUUUUAAGCUGUGAAAAAUCAAUACACAUUACUCAUUUACAUUAACAAAGCUACACAAAGUAAUCUGAGCCUUCAUUAAAUUAUUUCUCCUGUAAACCAGAGAAGUUUGGAGAGUUAUUAGCUAUUUAUAACCUAGUGGAACUUCACUUACAAGAGAGAAAUCUUACCCAUGACUGGGCAGUUGUAUCAAUGUCAUUUAAAUGAACAGCCAAAUAGGAUUAAUAUAUUAGUGAGUGGAAAUAGAUUGAUAUGGUCCAUAAGGAUGACUAAAUGAUGAAAGCUAUCAUCAUGGUGUUAUAAUAUGAAUGAUUCAGCACUCCAUCUGAAAAUUACAUGUCUUAACAGUUUUUUUUCAGUGUUGUAAUUAAAGUCCCUCCCCUCCAUACCCCCACCAUCUGCCAUAUACACAUUUGGCUGUCUUUUAGGCAAUGUAGCAUCUAGGAGACACUAAGAUCACUGAGCUUAAAAUACAAUCAUGAAGGUAUCUCAAGUAGUAUUGCCAGACUUUGGUAUUUUCUAUAAUUUCAUCUAAUAUUAUAGGAUAAUCUGGGAAGGGCAAAACCAAACCAAACAAAAACUCAAAAUGAUUUUUUUUUGUUAGAAAAGGAAAGGCUAUGUUGUUAUGAGAAGCCAUUAAGAAGAAGAAAAAAUAUUUUGCAAUCUAAAUUUUAGUUACAUUGUCCCUAAUUGAUAAUUUGGAGGCAGAUGGAAACCCUUACAUGUGAAAGCAAAAGGUCCAAGACCACAUAUUGUCCAGUUUCCCUGCGGAAGAAUUGUCUAAGAAAUUAAAUGAAUCAAUCCGUAACUGCAACAGGGACUUUGGGUCCUUGUUCCUGUCUGUGUUGUUUCCUGAGCCCAUCAAGGUGACGGUUAAUGGGAAGAGGUAUUAACACAAGUUCUUGUUGGGUCAUUUGGUAAAGCCCUCAAUUAGCAUGGCCAGAUUUUAAUGAAUAUUAAGUAAUGAUGAUGAAAUUAAAAGCAUCCGGAAAGACAGCAGUAAUCAAACCGGUCUGUGAACGUAUGGCUGAAAAAGCUGUUCUGGGGUCCUUGUGAGAAAUUUGCUCCAGGACCCUUAUAAGAAUUUAGAGAGGAUUGCUCACCAAUUUUUCAUUAUAUAUAUAUGCCUGUUUCAAUAUAUAUAAAACAGGCUUAAUGGACCUCACAGUUCCACAUGGCUGGGAGGCCUCACAAUCAUGGCAGAAGGUAAAAGGCACUUCUUACAUGGCAGCAGGCAACACAGAAUGAGAGCCAAGUGAAAGAGGAAACCCUUAUAAAAUCAUCAGAUCUCAUGAGGCUUAUUCACUACCACAAGAACAUUAUAGGAGAAACCAUCCCCAUGAUUCAAUUAUCUCCCACUGUGUUCCUCCCACAAUAUGUGGGAAUUAUGGGAGCUACAGUUCUAAGACGAGAUUUGGGUGGGGACAUAGCCAAACCAUAUCUACCCUGGCCCCUCCCAAAUCUCAUGUCCUCACAUUUCAAAACCAUUCAUGUUGUCCCAACAGUACCCCAAAGUCUUAACUCAUUUCAGCAUUAACUCAAAGGUCCACAGUACAAAAUCUCAUCUGAGACAAGGCAAGUCCCUUCCACCUAUGAGCCUGUAAAAUCAAAAGCAAGUUAGUUACUUCUUAGAUACAAUGGGGGUACAGGCAUUGGGUAAAUACAGCCAUUCCAAAUAAGAGAAAUUGGCCAAAACAAAGGGGCUACAGGCCCGAUGCAAAUCUGAAAUCCAGUGGGGCAGUCAAAUCUUAAAGCUCCAAUUUGAUCUCCUUUGACUCCAGGUCUCACAUCCAGGUCACGCUCAUGCAAGAGGUGGACCCACAGCUUUGGGUAUCUCUGCCCUGUAGCUUUGCACGGUAUAGCCCUGCUCCUGGCUGCUUUCAUGGGCUGGCGUUGAGUGUCUGUGGCUUUUCCAGGUGCAAGGUGCAAGCUCUCAGUGGAUCUACCAUUCUGGGUUCUAGAGGAUGGUGGGUGGCCGUCUUCUCAUAGCUCCACUAGGCAGUACCUCAGUGUGGGGACUCUGUGUGGGGUUUCACACCCCAAAAUUCCCUUCUGCACUGCCCUAGCAGAGGCUGUUCAUGAGGGUCCUGCCCCUGCAGCACACCUCUGUCUGGACAUCCAGGCAUUUCCAUACAUCCUCUGAAAUCUAGGUGGAAGUUCCCAAACCCCAAUUCUUGACUUAUUUGCACCCACAGGCCCAACACCACAUGUAAGCCUCCAAGGCUCGGGGCUCGAACCCUCUGAAGCAAUGGCCUGAGGUCUACGUUGGUCUGUUGUAGCCACAGCUGGGAUGCAGAGCACCAAGUCCCAAGACUGCACAAAGUAGCAAGGCCCUGGGCCUGGCCAGGAAGCCAUUUUUUCCUCCUAGGCCUCUGGGUCUGUGAUGGGAGGGGCUGCCAUGAAGACCUCUGACAUGCCCUGGAGACAUUUUCCCCACUGUCUUGGUGAUUAACACUUGGCUCCUCAUUACUUAUGCAAAUUUCUCCAGCCAGCUUGAAUUUCUCCUCAGAAAAUGGGUUUUCCUUUUCUAUCUCAUGGUUAGGUUGCAAAUUUUCUGCACUUUUAUGCUCUGCUUGCUCUUUAAACCUAAGUUCCAAUUCCAAACCAUACCUUUGUGAAUGAAUAAAACUGAAUGCUUUUAAUAGUAGCCAAGUCACAUCUUGAAUGCAUUGCUGAUUAGGAAUUUCUUUCACCAGAUGUCCUAAAUCAUCUCUCUCAAGUUCAAAGUUCCACAGAUCUCUAGGGCAGGGGCAAAAUGCCACCACUCCUUUUGCUAAAACAUAACAAGAGUCACCUUUGCUCCAGUUCCCAACAAGUUUCUCAUCUCCAUCUGAGACCACCUCAACCUGGACUUUAUUGUCCAUAUCACUAUAAGCAUUUUGGUGAAAGGCAUUCAACAAAUCUCUAGGAAGUUCCAAAGUUUCCUACAUUUUCCUGUCUUCUUCUGAGCCCUCCAAACUGUUCCAACCUCUGCCUGUUAUCCAGUUCCAAAGUCGCGUCCACAUUUUCAGUUAUCUUUACAGGAGCACCACACUCCCAGUACCAACUUACUGUAUUAGUCUGUUUUAACACUGCUGAUAAAGACAUACCUCAGACUGGGUAAUUUAUAAAGAAAAAGAGGUUUAAUGGACUCAAAGUUCCACAUGGCUUUGGAGGCCUCACAAUCAUGGAGGAAGGUGAAAGGCAUGUCUUACAUGGUGGCAGGCAAGAGAGAAUGAGAGCCAAGUGAAAAGGGAAACCCCUUAUAAAAAUCAUCAGCUCUUGUGAGACUUAUUCACUACCAUGAGAAAAUUAUGGGAGAAACCGCCCCCCAUGAUUCAAUUGUCUCCAACUGGGUUCCUCCCACAACAUGUGGGAGUUAUGGGAGCUACCACUCAAGAUGAGAUUUGGGUGGGGACACAGCCAAACCAUACCACUCCACCCCUGCCCACUCCCAAAUCUCAUGUUUUCACAUUUCAAAACCAUUACAAUCAAUUAUUGUGAUGCAAUCUUGAAUCUAUAGCCAAAUUUCCCACUUCUCAAGAUUUAUUGGAAAAAAUUAUCCCUAGUGUCCCUCAGAACUGUUUGGUUUUCUUUUUUUAACAUUUAGACCUUUUUCAUCCAUCUCCAAUGAACAGCAUUGGAGUUGUUUAUCUAGUAGAGUAUGUAUAUAAUUUAUGACAAAGUUAAUUUCAAUGAUCCUCAAGUAAGCGUUUUUUCAGUACCCCCCAUGACUAUUAUAGUCAACUUUCUUGUUCUCAGAAACACAUGAAUUAAUAUUUCACAGAUGAAGCACAAAUAAUCAAUAAACUUAUGAAACUGCUUAGUAACAAUAUUUAUUAAAUUAGUCAACAUUAAAAAAAACCUCAGCUGACAUGGGUAUGGUGACAGAUAAUCUCUUUACCCAGUGAUGUGACUGUGAAUUACUUUCUGGAAAGCAAUUUGCCUAUAUGUUACAAGAGCCU
rnacentral:lncRNA from 1 species